GGUUGCUCAAAAAAACAGGGAAAUUAGUAAGCACAAGUUCCAAAAGUUUUCUUAACAUAGUUCUUAAAAAUACCAUAAAAAAUAUAAAGCAAUAUGAGUAUCUUGUGAAGCUAAAUUUAGUUUCUCAGUGGAAGCCUUCACAUACAGAAGCCAAACACCACGACCACUUCAAAUCACUGAAGUGGAUAUGGUGCUUGUACAGCAACCCUAUAUAAUAUUACAUAAU